UAACCAUAAAAGAAAAAACAGUAGAAAACCAAAGACCUAGGAAAUUGAUCAGACAUUUCCCACCAAGCCACACUGAUUGGGUGCAAGUAAAUCAUAAAAAAAA